rnacentral:rRNA from 1 species
AGAGACAGCAGCCGCCGCGGGAAUACGUAGGGGGCAAGCGUUAUCCGGAAUUACUGGGCGUAAAGGGAGCGCAGGCGGUUUAGUAAGUCUGAAGUUAAAGGCAUUGGCUCAACCAAUGUAUGCUUUGGAAACUGUUAGACUUGAGUGCAGAAGGGGAGAGUGGAAUUCCAUGUGUGGCGGUGAAAUGCGUAGAUAUAUGGAGGAACACCGGUGGCGAAAGCGGCUCUCUGGUCUGUCACUGACGCUGAGGCUCGAAAGCGUGGGUAGCGAACAGGAUUAGAUACCCCUGUAGUCCCUGUCUCUUAUACA